rnacentral:rRNA from 1 species
UACGAAGGGGGCUAGCGUUGCUCGGAAUCACUGGGCGUAAAGCGCACGUAGGCGGAUCGUUAAGUCGGGGGUGAAAUCCUGGAGCUCAACUCCAGAACUGCCUUCGAUACUGGAGAGCUCGAGUCCGGGAGAGGUGAGUGGAACUGCGAGUGUAGAGGUGAAAUUCGUAGAUAUUCGCAAGAACACCAGUGGCGAAGGCGGCUCACUGGCCCGGUACUGACGCUGAGGUGCGAAAGCGUGGGGAGCAAACAGG